rnacentral:rRNA from 1 species
UACGUAGGGGGCAAGCGUUGUCCGGAAUCAUUGGGCGUAAAGCGCGUGUAGGCGGUCCGGUAAGUCCGCUGUGAAAGUCGGGGGCUUAACCCUCGGAUGCCGGUGGAUACUGUCGGGCUUGAGUACGGAAGAGGCGAGUGGAAUUCCUGGUGUAGCGGUGAAAUGCGCAGAUAUCAGGAGGAACACCGGUGGCGAAGGCGCCACUCUGGGCCGGUACUGACGCUGAGGAGCGAAAGCGUGGGGAGCGAACAGG